GCGCCCGUAGCUCAACGGAUAGAGCAUCUGACUACGGAUCAGAAGGUUGGGGGUUCGAAUCCCUUCGGGCGCGCC
rnacentral:tRNA from 1 species